rnacentral:rRNA from 1 species
UCGAGCGAGAACCAGUCCUUCGGGACUGGGGACAGCGGCGAACGGGUGAGUAACACGUGGGUAAUCUGCCCUCGAUUCUGGGAUAGCCCGGGGAAACCCGGGUUAAUACCGGAUAGCCUCUCGAGCUUUCGAGCUCGUGAGAAAAGGUAGCUUCGGCCUCCGAUCGAGGAUGAGCCCGCGGCGGAUUAGCUUGUUGGUGGGGUAAUGGCCCACCAAGGCGACGAUCCGUAGCUGGUCUGAGAGGACGAUCAGCCACACUGGGACUGAGACACGGCCCAGACUCCUACGGGAGGCAGCAGUGGGGAAUCUUGCGCAAUGGGCGAAAGCCUGACGCAGCGACGCCGCGUGGGGGAAGAAGGCCUUCGGGUUGUAAACCUCUUUCAGCAGGGACGAAGCCACUCGGGUGAAUAGCCCAGAGGGUGACGGUACCUGCAGAAGAAGCCCCGGCUAACUACGUGCCAGCAGCCGCGGUAAUACGUAGGGGGCAAGCGUUGUCCGGAUUUAUUGGGCGUAAAGAGCGUGUAGGCGGCCAGACAGGUCCGUUGUGAAAACUAGAGGCUUAACCUCUAGACGUCGAUGGAAACCGUCUGGCUAGAGUCCGGAAGAGGAGAAUGGAAUUCCUGGUGUAGCGGUGAAAUGCGCAGAUAUCAGGAAGAACACCCGUGGCUAAGGCGGUUCUCUAGUACGGUACUGACGCUGAGACGCGAAAGCGUGGGGAGCGAACAGGAUUAGAUACCCUGGUAGUCCACGCCGUAAACGAUGGGUGCUAGGUGUGGGGGGUGUCGA